AGUGUAGUUAGGUAAAUGGGUCUAAUAACCAGUAAAAUCGAAAAUGAAGGCCAUGUUGAGAAUGGAGUCCCAGAAAAGCAGAACAACACUUGCAAUGUUAAUGUUCCCAAGCCCCAGAGCCCAUCCCAAAGAAAUGUUAAUGAAACAACUCCCAACAAACAUGGCAGAUGCUAAUCCAAAAAUCCUUCCUGCCCAGAUUACUCCUUUGGCCCACGUGUGCCCCACCCUUUGGGCCUUCCCACCUAUAUUCCAUCACUGAAAAAUAACAGAACAAAGGACAGGAAUGGGACAGAAAUGCGGAAAAGCUGAAAGAAGACCUUAGCUAUAAAAGACGGGAGACAUCACCCUUCCACAGAUUCCACCUCUUGAGUCCCCUUCUUCCUCUGGGGAGAAGUCUUUUCUGCUGACCUUUAAUAAAGCUUCUACUUUCC
rnacentral:lncRNA from 1 species